UUGUUCUUAACUGAAUGGAGUAGCUAUCUCGUCGGGGUAGUCAGUUUGGUUAUUAUGUCUCCACUAAUAAGCAGAGAGAGUAAAUCUUCAAAGUUAAGUUAUGUGGAUCAAGGUAUAGUGAUUAAUUGGAGUUCUAGUUCAUUUACUUUGAGAAAAUUAGAGUGUUUAAAAGCAAGCCUCUUGGGGCACUGAAUACAUUAGCAUGGGAUAAUAAAAUAGGAUCUUCACAAUAUAUUUUAUUGGUUUAAAUUUGGAUAUGAAGAUAAUGAUUAAUAGGGACAGUUGGGGGUAUUCAUAUUGGGUGGUUAGCGGUGAAAUGCUCGGAUCCAUUCAAGAUGAACUAAAGCGAAAGCUAUUUACCAAGGAUGUUUUCAUUAAUCAAGAACGAAAGUUAAGGGGAUCGAAGACGAUUAGAUACCGUCGUAGUCUUAACUAUAAACUAUGCCGACCAGGGAUAUGAGUUGUUAGGAAUAUGUGAAAGCAUAUUCAAUUUCUUCUUAUGAACCUUGUGAGAAAUCAUAAGUUUUUGGGUUCUGGGGGG
rnacentral:rRNA from 1 species